rnacentral:lncRNA from 1 species
UAGAAGUUAGUCAUUACACUUGGUUGUGCUUCUUCCGGGAGAAUUUCUGUGUAUCUCUUCGUGAGAUGGCUAGUUCAAGUCCUAAGAUGUUUGUUUCUGCAGGGCUUUCAUUCCACUCUGUGGUAGAACAACGUUCCUUCUGAUGAAUAUCUUUACCAUUUGUAGUUGAGCCUCACAUGUAAGUCAGAGCAUGAAAAAUAUGCCUCAUACAAGAGAGGGUUAAAUUAACCUCCGGGUCCAUGAUGAGAUGACGAGUGAGAUUUUGAUUGGAUUUUUCAACUAGGAUGUCUGGAUUCAGGUCUUUCUGUUACCAUUGGUUCUUAGUUCUUAA